rnacentral:rRNA from 1 species
UACGUAGGGGGCGAGCGUUGUCCGGAAUCAUUGGGCGUAAAGAGCGUGUAGGCGGUCCGAUAAGUCCGCUCUGAAAGCCCGGGGCUCAACCCCGGGAGGCGGGCGGAUACUGUCGGGCUAGAGUCCGGAAGAGGCAAGUGGAAUUCCUGGUGUAGCGGUGAAAUGCGCAGAUAUCAGGAGGAACACCGAUGGCGAAGGCAGCUUGCUGGGACGGUACUGAUGCUGAGACGCGAAAGCGUGGGGAGCAAACAGG